rnacentral:sRNA from 1 species
UCGAGACCAGCCUGGCCAACAUGGCAAAACCUCAUCUCCAUUAAAAAUACAAAAAAGUUAGCCAGGCGCGGUGGUGUGGGCCUGCAGUCCCAGCUACUUGGGAGGCUGAGGCAGGAGAAUCACUUGAAUCCAGGAGGUGGAGGUUGCAGUGAGCCGAGAUUCCACCACCGCACUCCAGCCUGGGCGAUGGAGCAAGACUCCAUCUCAAAAAAAGAGAAAAUUCUACACAUACAUACUUAACACAAACUUUGUUUCAUGUGCAAAAUUAUUUAAAAUGUUAUGUAAAAUUACCUUCAGGCUGUGUGCGUAAGGUAUAUAUGAAAUAUAAAUGAAUUUUUCCAGGCAUGAUGGCUCACACCUGUAAUCUCGAUACUUUGGGAGGCUGAUACAGGAGGAUGGCUUGAGGCCAGGAGUUUGAGACCAGCCUGGGCAACAUAGUGACACCCUAUCUCUACAAAAAAUUUAAAAAUUAGCUGGGCAUAAUGGUGCACACCUGUAGUCCCAGCUACUCUGGGGGCUGAGGUGGGAGGAUCUCUUGAGCCACUAUACUCCAGCCUGAGUGACAGAGUGAGACCCUGUCUCAAAGAAAAAUGAAACAAAUGAAUUUCAUGUUUAGGCUUGCAUAUGCAUUCCCAAGAUAUCUCAUUGUGUAUAUGCAAAUAUUCCAAAAUCUGAAAUCUGAAACAUUUCAGAUAAGGGAUGCUCAGCCUGUAUCACCACUUACUAUCACCAUCAUUUUGUAUUGAAGAAAGAUAUUUCAAAUCUCCAGAAGUAGGAGGAGUAUCAUCUCAGAACUCCGGUGUGUUUUCAGUUUAACAGUGGUAUUUCAGAAGCACCUGCCCCCAUCCCUGACAUUUUCUUCAUGUUUGCUGGGACCACUCAGAAAUCAGAAGGUGCCUUCAGCAGGCUGGGCCAGCCACCUGGGGACACAGCCAGGAACAGUGGGAGGGCUGGGCCUGAGCCUGGACUCCUGCACUGAAGGCUGGGCUGUCCCCUCCAGCAUACAGCUCAUGUGUGACUUUGGGAAAGGAGUUGGGCCCUCUGGUCUUUUUGCUCCCUGGGUAAAGUCAGUGGGGGGUGCUGCUCUGCAGUCCUUCCUGGGUUCAUAGGGGUCAUGGGAGGAUCUGGAGGCUGGGCUGGCCUGCUAAAGGGACCAGCCACUUUUUGGAGUGACAUUCCAGCUGGAAGCGUCCAUCCCACCCCAGGUGUGAGGGGGGAAGCAGAGGGUGUCACAUACUGUGACAGAGGUGGGGUCAUGCUGCCAACCCCACUCUGAACCCCAGCUCAUCGAGCGGUCCCCCCGCACCCUGCCACGCUCCAUCACCUACGUGAGCAUCAUCAUCUUCAUCAUGGGUGCCAGCAUCCACCUGGUGGGUGACUCUGUCAACCACCGCCUGCUCUUCAGUGGCUACCAGCACCACCUGUCUGUCCGUGAGAACCCCAUCAUCAAGAAUCUCAAGCCGGAGACGCUGGUGAGGCCACCUCCUGCUCCCUGCCUGUAAGCCCUAGAAGCACAGUCUGUCCUGGGAGGCUGAAGAAAUGGCCCCCACCCCUCGCCGCACCUGUCCUUCCACCAAAGGCAUUCUGUUAGAUCGACUCCUUUGAGCUGCUCUACUAUUAUGAUGAGUACCUGGGUCACUGCAUGUGGUACAUCCCCUUCUUCCUCAUCCUCUUCAUGUACUUCAGCGGCUGCUUUACUGCCUCUAAAGCUGAGAGCUUGAUGCCAGGGCCUGCCCUGCUCCUGGUGGCGCCCAGUGGCCUGUACUACUGGUACCUGGUCACCGAGGGCCAGAUCUUCAUCCUCUUCAUCUUCACCUUCUUCGCUAUGCUGGCCCUCGUCCUGCACCAGAAGCGCAAGCGCCUCUUCCUGGACAGCAACGGCCUCUUCCUCUUCUCCUCCUUCUCACUGACCCUCUUACUUGUGGCGCUCUGGGUCGCCUGGCUGUGGAAUGACCCUGUUCUCAGGAAGAAGUACCCAGGUGUCAUCUACGUCCCUGAGCCCUGGGCU